rnacentral:rRNA from 1 species
GUGAGGAAUAUUGGACAAUGGGCGCAAGCCUGAUCCAGCCAUUCCGCGUGCAGGAUGAAGGCCUUCGGGUUGUAAACUGCUUUUGUACGGAACGAAAAGCCUCUGGUUAAUACCCGGGGGUCAUGACGGUACCGUAAGAAUAAGCACCGGCUAACUACGUGCCAGCAGCCGCGGUAAUACGUAGGGUGCGAGCGUUAAUCGGAAUUACUGGGCGUAAAGCGUGCGCAGGCGGUGAUGUAAGCCAGUUGUGAAAUCCCCGGGCUCAACCUGGGAACUGCAUCUGUGACUGCAUUGCUGGAGUGCGGCAGAGGGGGAUGGAAUUCCGCGUGUAGCAGUGAAAUGCGUAGAUAUGCGGAGGAACACCGAUGGCGAAGGCAAUCCCCUGGGCCUGCACUGACGCUCAUGCACGAAAGCGUGGGGAGCAAACAGGAUUAGAAACCCUGGUAGUCC